CAACAGGUUCCCGGUCCCUGCUCUGUGUCGGCGCCUGCUCUAGGGGCUCGGGCACAUCGGUGACACAAGGACACAGCUUCCCUGUCCUGAUGGGGCCAAGGGACUCCUUUGUCCCUGCCCUUUGUCCUCGAGGCUUCCAGGAAGGUGGGGUUGGCACCCAACCUGCUCUUAGGGACCGUGUCUGUAGGGGGCAAGGAAGGAGCUGUCCAGGCAGGAGGGCCUGGGGGUAGGAGAGGGACGUGGAGGAGGACACGGAAGUCUUUAGAUGACAGGUGAAGAGCAGCUCCCAUCUUACAACAAACCUCAUAUAAGAUUUGUAAAAAUUGAAGUCUUUUUUUUUUUCUCCCUAAAAACCAAAGUGCCUAUAACUGCGUGUGGCAUAAUUGGGAGGCCGAAGCAGGAGGCUCUCAAGUUCAAGGCCAGCCUGGGCAACGUAGGCCCUGUCUCAAAAUUAAAGAGCUUUUAAAAAAGGGCUGAGGGGUAGCUAGGGGGUGGAGCGCUUGAUGCGGGAGCCCGGGUUCCAUCCCCAGCACAAAAUAUGGAGAGCCGAGGGAGGGAGGGAGGGAGGGAAAGUCUGGACUCAGACAGACGCCUCUGCUGCCCCCAGGUGUGUGGCCCCACAGGAGACCCCCACGGCUCCAUCUCCCCCUGCCCCCUCCUGGGCUCUUGAGAGGACUCCUGCAGUGAAGACCAGGAAGGUCAGCUGUGGGGCAGUGACUCCCGGCCCCCGGAGCAGCUCCUACCAGGAGGGAGACUCUCACCGUGAGGCCCUAGUGGCCCCCACCCUCCAGACACCCACACCCUGAAGCUCUGACCCCGCAGUGCAGGAUUGUCCCCAGUGAGGUCCUCACACCCAGCCUCCCCCUGGCUCUGUAGGCCCUGGCCAGACGCCAACCAAUUCCCGCUGCCUCAGGACUCCUGGGCUGCCCACCCUCGGUCCUGGCCUCUGCAGCCCCUUGGCCGGUCCCUCUAGGUUGCAGGGACCUGGCACUGCCGAGUCUUGGGGACAUGGGGGGCUGCUGGACUGAAGCAGCUGGGACCUCGCAUCAGAAAUCUCAGCUGUGCUCCUGGAGCCCAGGGUAGGGGAGGGCCCUGGUUUUGCCAGUCCCACCUGCAAUCCCACCCUCUAGUCCAGAGGAAGAACUCUGCUCUCCUCACAGAGCUGUUCUUGGACCCCCUAAAUAAAAUAGCGCACCCCGUUCUCCCGCCUCCCGGCCCCCGCUG
rnacentral:lncRNA from 1 species